rnacentral:rRNA from 1 species
GUCUGUGGCCACACCACCCCAAAUGUGCCCGAUCUUGUAAGCUCAGCAGGGUCAGGCCUGGCUAGUACUUGGAUGGGAGACCAGACAUAGCUCCUGUCUCCCUUGGCAGAUCUAGGCUCUACAAGGA